rnacentral:sRNA from 1 species
GUGGUUGCUGGUGCUCAGCUUCGUGUUUGGGUGCAAUGUUCUUAGGAUCCUCCUCCCGUCCUUCUCAUCCUUCAUGUCCAGGGUGCUACAGAAGGAUGCGGAGCAGGAGUCACAGAUGAGAGCGGAGAUCCAGGACAUGAAGCAGGAGCUCUCCACAGUCAACAUGAUGGAUGAGUUUGCCAGAUACGCCAGGCUGGAAAGAAAGAUCAACAAGAUGACGGAUAAGCUCAAAACCCACGGUACUGUGUCCCUUGCAGCCUGAAGGCUUCAUGAGAGCUGAUUAAUAGAGAAGUCUGUAUGUAAAGAUUAGUAGAAUAUAUGCUUUGCUUCUUGGAUGUUCUGAAUAUUGAUGGAAACUUUUAAGUUAUCUGGAGGAAACUCAGUAAUAAUACUACUUUCUUCUUAUUUGCUGGUGAACCUUUGCUUUCUAAGCACAGAAAUAUCUAAGAUCCUCUCAGAUUUUCCUCAGACCCAACUCUUUAUUGUAGGUUUUCAUUUUUAAAUUCAUCACUUUUCUGAGAGAAGCCCAGAAAAAAAGUCUCACAGUGGAUUCCCAGA